UCUUAACUAGGUUUCUGAUUUCAAAGGAUGUCAUAUACACUUAAAGACCAAGGGGAAGUUUUACAGUUGGUUGUGUUUUUAUUGAGCUACAGCAGACUUAAAGUAGAAAAUGAAAAUGCAAGCAGUAUUCCGUUUCCAGCCAACCAAACGUACAGUAUUCCAGAUACUUGUCUGAACAUGAAACUAAAGCAGCAGCAACAGCAGCAGCAGCAGCGACAUUCAGCCAGCAAACAGCAAGUACACCUGCUGUUCAAACCAGAGUUAAAUGGCAACCUAACUUUUUAUUUCCUGCACAAAUACUGCAUGGAUUUGUACUUUGAUCCAGAAAUCACAGAUAUUGUUUUAAAUCUUGUUUGAAAAUGAGUUUAAAAAGUUGUUGAAAUGCAAGCAGUUCAUGACAGCUUUGGCUGUUGUGACAUUCCAAAUCCUUUUUUCCCCCAUUUUUUUUCUUUAGAAAAUCAGCAUUGUUCCGUCAUUUUUUUUCUGCCUCUUAAACAUUCAUGAACCCCCAUUUUGGUUGUCCUGAACUGCGUGUACAGAAAUCAGCUGUCCCGCUUGGAACAGAAGAACCUACCUAAAGCCGGACAGAGAAAAGACAAGGUGUGUUCACAUAUCACAGCUGAGCAAAAUGGAUAUCUGAAAUGGCUCAAAUAAAGGAUUAUUUUGUCAUGCGUUUUCACCAGUAUGUUCUUGACGAGGUUCAGUCAAGAAUAUUUCAAGUUUUUAAAACAAGCUGAAAUCGUCAACCAGUAUGUAUGUAAUCUACCACCUCUGAGGCAGACAGGAAAUGUCAGAUAGGAGCUGAAAAGGCAGCAUGGUGUGAUCGAACAGACACUCCACUUUCUGCUCUCUGUAAUUAAUAAUUGCUAUAUCAGGAAAGAGAACAUUCUGUUUUAGCCUCAGGUACUGAUGCAAGAACCAGCUCAUGAGAAAAGAUUCUGGCAUUUAGGAUGUACAGUGUGUUGAUUCAUUCGUCCUAACGCUGUUAGCCUUGGUCUGACCACAUGGCUAUUUGUGUUCAUUCUCUGGUCUCUCAGCAGUGAGCUGUGUGUUCAGAUUGCCCAAAACAUCCUUCUACUUGCCCCUCUAGCACUUCUGAGUGAUUUACAACCACCAUCUUCAUAACUCUGUGAGGGCAAGUUAAGGUGACGCUGCAGGAGAGAAGGAAGAGUUAGUUUGUGAUGAAGCGGUCUAGUAUGAUGAUAUCUACCACUACCAUGAGGAUAUAUGCAAGUGCCAUCAAAGUCUACUCAUAAUGAGCAGUGCGCAUGUAUGAUUCUCAAAAAAAUAGGACUGAUUUUCAUCAAAUAACAGAUUAUUAUACACUUUGAUCUUUGAAAACAACAACGAGAAACAUUCCAGGUUUCGGGGCAACAGUCAGAUUUUUUUAAAAAAUGUAACAAAACUUGCCCUCCCAGUAAAACUGUACAAACUUUUUUUUGUAAUACAGAAAAAUAUUUACAAGGGGUGUUUCUUUAAAAAAAAAAAAAAAAAGCGUAGUAGUAAGAACAAUGCAUCAAGUCCAGCUUUGGCACUCCUCUUAAUGUCAGCGUCUGCACCUCGCAUCAGUGCUUUAACAGCCAAAGUCUCUGUCGCUUUGUGAUGACAUCACAGGCAGACACAUCACUGGUUCCACGUUUGGUCAUCUUGAGUCGUCUCAUGGUGACUCAGCAGUCAAUGAUUUACUUUACC
ensembl:lncRNA